GCUUGAUGUGACUUUUUUUUCUCUCUUUUCCACGCAUAUAUAAUGAAUACCUGAAAACUCUUGGGAUGCGUGUCUUAUCUUCCUGUUUUUUCUGGAGAACUGCUGGUGGCUCAAUGCUACAGUACAGAUUGCAGGGCUCCUGGUGUGCUGGAUCUGGACCUACCUCCUUUGGCAGGAUAAGCAGUGUUGGCAUGAGCAGCAUCAUGAAUGACUGGUGCCUCCUGAGACUGGGGGAGGCACUGUGGCAGUGAGCGGUAUGAACAGAUGAACUAAUAAACCAGUGUAAUUUAAAGCAGUUUUGGUAUUGUGAUGGAAGCCAACAAAUGUGAAACCAUAAUUUGUUCUAUAUAUGGAUUUCUGAGCAUUGGCUCUCAAACAGAAGCCAUUAAGCUACCUCAUUGUUAAGAAGCAUGGAGACUGGUUAACCAGUGUACCCUGAAGUGAUGAUUCCCUGACACCUUCUGGGAUAGGAAGUGACAUGUCUUCAAGAGAAACUGACCUUAAAAUUCUUGGAAGUCCCUGGAAUUCACUUUUCAAAGAACUGCCUCUGGCAAUGAGAUGACAGUUUCUUCUGCAUCAAGGCAACUCUUGAUGGAAAUAUCAUCCACGGCUAAUUAAUAUAAAAUAUAAAGAUUUUGAUGAGAAUGGAUAUCCAUAUCCACAUUCAUAGGACUGGGCAAGGACUGACCACCCUCUUCUACUGGGAUUGGGCCUCUGGGGUCCAGGCAUCACCCCUUCCCAUCUUUGUGCACGCCUGUGUGAGAACAUGCUUAAACCCAGAGAAAAUCUACUGCUGUUUUUUUUUUGGUUUGGGGAAAGUUCUAAAUUACAAGAUGCCUAGAGAGACUUCCAGUGGCUCUAUAUCCUGCAACACUGGACCUCAGAGCAACGAAACGUAUCCUUGGUACACCAAGCAGCACCUCCUCCAUUAGGUUCUCCUGCCUUUUCUUUCUGAAUAAGCUGUAUGCUUCCAUAUCAGUAAUAUAUUCAUAGGAAUUAUGCCACCAAAUCUUUAUUAUUUAUGUCAAUUGAGUCAUAGAUUUGAUUAUGUAUUAAUACUUGCAGUUCUUUCUGUUUACCACACUUUGUACAGGCAUCUAUGAAGUUCAGGAGAUUGACUCACUGUUUUCCUUGUGCAUUGUGAUUACCCACAUCAAACUAGGUUUCAGGGCUUUGUCCAGAUCAGUGAAAUUAAUACUGACUUAUGAGAUUCUGUCAGUGCUCCUUGUUGAACCUAUUUAAAGUCAUCAACAAAUAAAAAAAGGCUGUCACCAAAGGUGCUCUAGCACAUUUUUAGUGGAGGGUCCCAUCCCUGCGCAACAAUUUCCUUUCUCAGAAUAUCAUUUGUGUAGCCUUAAGAACACAUAGUUUAAUUAAGAAAUAUUUGAAGUAGGGGUGUAUUAUACCCCUUUUUGUAAUGUAGCCAAAUUGAGGAAGGGAGGGUAGAAAACUUGCAUGAUGAAUUGGUGACAAUACUUAGAAGAAAUGCUAGUUAUCCUGAUUCUCAAUGUUCCUAGGCACUUCCAAUUUUUAAUUUAAUUUUUAUUUAAUUAAUUGUUUUAUUAUGUGUUUUUGUAGUUAGAUAUUGAGCAGAUAUUGUGUACUCUGGAGGAUAAUAUUUGGAUUGAUGUAGAUUACCUGAAUAGUUACAGAUAAUUGCAUGAAAUUAAAUCAGCUCACCAUACUAUCUUUAAUGUUCAUAUUUUUUUUCUUUUUAUUGAGGCAUGUAUUUCAUUAACUAGUACGAGCAUUUCAUUAUGUAAUGCUUAUGAUGUCAACACUGUCUGUGAUGAUCCUGUUCCCAAAUGCACUUGAAUUAUAUUCUUAACAACUCUCAAAAUCUAACUAGAAAAAUACUUAUUAAACCUGUUUUUCAUUUGUACUUGUUGUAACUCUACAUAUUGUGAAGAAAAUUAUUUUCUAGUGCAAGGAAUAUCCCUGGGUAUUACCAUGGCUUCAUUGUGCUUUAAGUAUCUGCAAUAAUAAAGAAAAUGACUGAAAAAUAAUUGAAAAUUAAUUUAUUACGUUUCAUCCCAAAUACCUCGUGUUUUACAUUACACAGAGAAAUUUUAAAAGUCUCUUAUGGUAUUCAUAAAAUAUCUGUGCUAAAAAGUCAGAACAAUUUCCUUCGCUUACAUUUUU